rnacentral:rRNA from 1 species
CGUGUAGGCGGUCUAUCAAGUCGGAUGUGAAAUCCUCUGGCUCAACCAGAGAACUGCACUCGAUACUGAUAGACUUGAGUAUAGGAGAGGAAAGCGGAAUUCCUGGUGUAGCGGUGAAAUGCGUAGAUAUCAGGAAGAACACCAGUGGCGAAGGCGGCUUUCUGGCCUAUUACUGACGCUGAUGCGCGAAAGCCGGGGGAGCGAACAGGAUUAGAUACCCUGGUAGUCC